GGUAAAAUGGCCGAGUGCUAGGCGGCGGAGUGUAGUUCCGAGGACGGAGGUUUGAGUCCUCUUGUUACCAGCCCG
rnacentral:tRNA from 1 species